UAUAUUUAUAUACCAUACCUUGUAUAAUGUUUACCACCGUAUUACAAUACACCUUAUACCGGGUAUAAAUGGAUAUAAGACUAACAAACAAAAUGGAGACGAUUAAAAGAUUACAAGAUAAGGAUUUGGUGGUGGUGUUUUUUAUUUGUUGUUUACGAAUGGUCAACAGUCAGGUUAAUUUUUCUGCUCCCUGCAAUGGUGUUCAGAUCAUGGAUGCCCCGUUGUAUAACCCGUCAGCAAAUAUCCGGCAAGUAUCGGGAAUGUUUGCUAGAGCAGAAUUUAAUGUGAAUGACUCAAAACCAGGAGGCCUUCCAGCAACAUUUCAACCAUCUUUCUAUCCUCUUGUAUUUACGGUGGAUUUAUCACCAAACAGUGAUAAUGAAGUUGAAAUCAAAUCUGUUCAGUUGUCCAAUUCAACUAAUAUUCGUGACAUGGAUAUGCGCAUUAUCAAACAAAACAAUAUUUUUACCUCCCCAACUUUCCUGGCAACAUCCAGGUUAAUUGGUGACGACCCUAUUGCCUAUCUUGCUGCCGGUACAACGGGAAAAGCCGUACAAAUAAGUGUCAUUUCUGUCAACAACACCAAACCUCUCUCAUUUGAUAUUGACAUACGAGCUUGUCUUGCAGGUAAUGUUGCUUUUCAUGUUGUAGUAAUAGACACCUGAUCUGAGGUGGCACCGGAUUUGUUAUAUUAAGUUAGUGGUGUCAAUCUUGGUGUGUAUACAUUUGGAGUUUCCUCAAUUUCCAAGGCUAACGUUUGCAUACAAAAUAAUAUUGGUUGCGUCUAAUACUAAUUUGUGUUAACCGAGCAUAAGAAAUCCCAACUGAUAAGCGAGGUUAGGAAAUCCCAUUUGAUAUUCUAGUCCGGUGACGGUGUAAGCAACUACUACCAGCCUAGAUAAUUGAAGAAUAUUAGUCCGUUAUCCGAUCAUGCAUGUUAGACACCAUUCUGGAUUCAAACGAUCUGAUAUAGUAUUCAUACUAGCAAUCUAAGUAAGUAUAUUUUUUAUAAGCUAGAAAUUGCUGACUGUUUCUCUAACAGGUUAUGGAGAUUAGCCAUUAGUCGUUCAGGCAGGGCCAAAUUAAACUUGCAUGGUCACUGGCUCAAAAUAUCACUGGGGCCCUUGCAUCUACAGUGAAAAGGCGACAUAUUCUGGUAAUUGUAUGCUACACUCAUGUACAUGCAAUUUGUGUUAGUAUGGUAGACGAAUGUAUUUAUGGUUCAAAAUGUUUUUGGAACUAAUUUGGGGAAUUCUUUAAUAUUGCAACCCAUUUAAUAUUGGGUCCCCUGGCUGCAACCCAGUCAGGCACCUCCCGUUCCUGCAUUCAGGUGAGUAUGUUAUUGUCUGGUGUGGUUAUUGUAUGAUCUGCUUAAUGUAUGAUUUUUUGUGGCUGAUGGGGAUGUUGUGAUUUGGUAUGUUGUAUGAUCUUCUGUGUUUGCUGUAUGUUAUGAUUUGGUUGCUGUAUGUUGUUGUGGUUGUUUUAUAAUCUGUGAUUGCUGUAUAAUCUGUGGUUGUUGUGGUUGCUGUAUAAUCUGUGGAUGUUUUAUAAUCUGUGGUUGCUGUAUAAUCUGUGGUUGUUGUAUAGUAUGUGGUUAUUGUAUAAUCUGUGAUUGUUGUAUAAUCUGUGUUUGUUUUAUGAUCUGAUAAGAGUUGUUGUAUCGUCUGGGGUUGUUGUAUGACAUGUGAUUGUUGUAGGCUAUAAUCUGUGGUUGUUUUAAAUCCUGAAAGAGUUGUUGUAUCGUCUGUGGUUGUUGUAUAUCUGUUGUUGUAUAAUAUGUGGUUGUUUUAUAUCCUGAAAGAGUUUUUGUAUGACCUGUGAUUGUUGUAGGCUAUAAUCUGUGGUUGUUUGAUUUUUAUGUUGUGGUUCUGUAUGACAUGAACAGCUACAGUUGUUGUAUGAUAUGUUGUUCUAGUUUUAUAACCUGUUAUAUGAAUAGACUUGUUGUAUGAUAUGUGGUUCUAGUAUGUCUGGUAUGGGAAACACGAACCAGCAUCUUAGUGACAGCAAACAACCACCAACAGUAUCAGAAGACAUUGCUAGUGGGAUUAGUUUUCAGCUGCGACUCUGAAACUUCUGCAGGUGAUGAUUAUGAACUGAAACCUUGGAGUCCAGAGCUACAUAUAAAAUACGGUUUGUUUUAUCACUCAAUAAAUAAAUAAAAUCACACUCUCAACGCUUUCCAGGGAAGUGCCACAUUCUCUAAAUGGUUAACACGUGCACGCUGGAUCAGAUGGUCUGUUAUUGAGUCAAGUGGCGUGGUUUCGAUUCCCCGUAUGUUAGUCCCAAAAUGACCUAGUUUGUGUCAAGUGGAUGUCAAACUCCAUUGUUCUCUCGUACAGAAGUUACACACCCAUUAAAUGAGUAGUAGUAUGAAGUAUUCUAGCAUCUAUUUACAAGGACCAUAACUCUGACAGUUAACUGGAGGCAGACCACCAUUAAUUUUCCCAUUGACUUUGCCCACCUCCAACUUUUCCCCAAAUUUUCGUUGGGCUGAAUGCUUUUCAUUACAGACAGAGGAACAAAUGGUCAUGUCUUUGCACUAAAAUUUGUAUGAGGUUGACCACCAAAAUUUUGAGAUACACAAACUUGAAGAAGCAUACUAAAAACAUGUAACUUGUUGCCGUACAUAUCACCGUAGCCAACCUGAUAACCCCGUUAUCCUUCCGCCACAAAAUCAUGAAUAUUUACCAAAACCUGACAGAAAAUGUUAAUUCAAACCCUCUUCAUCCAUGUAAUACAAUAUCAUUUGUAAUCUAAAUUUUAUUAUUGUAUUUUGAAUUCAUAUUUUAAUUUAUAUUUUUCAUUUGUAACCCAUUUUGGACAUGUGACAAUCAGGAUUGUCUGCUGAGAUCACGUGACAGACUGCACGUUACAAAAUGGGCAUACUUAGAGAGACCGGGGAAGACCUGGGGAGAGACCUGUAGAGACCUAGAGGGGAAUUCGGCCCGGACCUCGGGAGAGGGCCUGCCCUCGACCCCGGAGAGAGGGGUCCUGUGAGGCCUAGGAGAAGCAGCUAUAGCUAGACGUUACUAUACUCAACCAAAUGAUGUUCAUAUGUACCUGUAAAUAUGUUAUCCAGUAUUAAAAUAUAUCUUUUUAAUUAA